UGGGGAAUUUUGGACAAUGGGCGAAAGCCUGAUCCAGCCAUGCCGCGUGAGUGAAGAAGGCCUUCGGGUUGUAAAGCUCUUUUAGUCGGAAAGAAAGAGUUGCAAUGAAUAAUUGUGAUUUAUGACGGUACCGACAGAAAAAGCACCGGCUAACUACGUGCCAGCAGCCGCGGUAAUACGUAGGGUGCGAGCGUUAAUCGGAAUUACUGGGCGUAAAGGGUGCGCAGGCGGUCUUGCAAGUCAGAUGUGAAAGCCCCGGGCUUAACCUGGGAAUUGCGUUUGAAACUACAAGACUAGAGUGCAGCAGAGGGGAGUGGAAUUCCAUGUGUAGCAGUGAAAUGCGUAGAGAUGUGGAAGAACACCGAUGGCGAAGGCAGCUCCCUGGGUUGACACCGACGCUCAUGCACGAAAGCGUGGGGAGCAAACA
rnacentral:rRNA from 1 species